rnacentral:rRNA from 1 species
AUUGAACGCUGGCGGCAGGCUUAACACACGCAAGUCGAGCGGAGAUGAGGUGCUUGCACCUUAUCUUAGCGGCGGACGGGUGAGUAAUGCUUAGGAAUCUGCCUAUUAGUGGGGGACAACAUUCCGAAAGGAAUGCUAAUACCGCAUACGUCCUACGGGAGAAAGCAGGGGAUCUUCGGACCUUGCGCUAAUAGAUGAGCCUAAGUCGGAUUAGCUAGUUGGUGGGGUAAAGGCCUACCAAGGCGACGAUCUGUAGCGGGUCUGAGAGGAUGAUCCGCCACACUGGGACUGAGACACGGCCCAGACUCCUACGGGAGGCAGCAGUGGGGAAUAUUGGACAAUGGGGGGAACCCUGAUCCAGCCAUGCCGCGUGUGUGAAGAAGGCCUUAUGGUUGUAAAGCACUUUAAGCGAGGAGGAGGCUACUGAGACUAAUACUCUUGGAUAGUGGACGUUACUCGCAGAAUAAGCACCGGCUAACUCUGUGCCAGCAGCCGCUGUAA